rnacentral:tRNA from 1 species
AUAAAAAUAUUUUUAUUGAUUUAAAAAAAAAAGUUUGUUAUUAACAAUAAAAAUGAUAAUAUAUUUGAAUAAUUGAAUUAAAUAGAUAAUCAAGUAAAUUAUAUUUUGAUUAUAAAUAUGAAAAAGAGUAUAUUUAUAAAUAAAAUUUAUUGGUCAAUUGUUAACUUUAAGAUUUGAUUUAUUGUGAAUUUUAAAUAUUUUAAAAUAUUUUUAAGU